GAGUAAAAUGUUGUCCAAAAAUGAAACGUAUGGUAUUUUAAUCUCGGAAUCCAUCGACUCCAAUGCCUAAUUGAAGUUGUCUUGUCUGCGUUCUCAAACGUUAUUGCUUGCUGCUGCAUAGUUGAUCGAAAGCAUGGCAACAUCAUUGUCCAACAUCCUUUUCAAGGGAAUUGCAGCUCGUUCUUUCACCGCACCUUAACUGGCCAACAUUUCCACAAGUUUUCAUUAAGGGGGAGUUUAUUGGUGGAUCAGAUAUUGUUCUUAAUAUGCAUCAGACGGGUGAAUUGAAGGAAAAGCUUUAAGAUAUUAUGUCCAAGCAGUAAAUGGACAAAUAAUGUGAUGAAAUUCAAGGGAGUGAGGUAGUUUAGACAAACUUAUUUGAUGUAAUCUGUUUCUGUUGCUGAAAGAUCUCCUUAUGUAACUUCUUUGAACCAGAUUUUCUGAAUGGUAUUAAGUUAUUCGGCAAAUAAAAAAUUGUACUUUUGUUA